rnacentral:rRNA from 1 species
UACGGGGGGGGCAAGCGUUGUUCGGAAUUACUGGGCGUAAAGGGCUCGUAGGUGGCCAACUAAGUCAGACGUGAAAUCCCUCGGCUUAACCGGGGAACUGCGUCUGAUACUGGAUGGCUUGAGUUUGGGAGAGGGACGCGGAAUUCCAGGUGUAGCGGUGAAAUGCGCAGAUAUCGGGAAGAACACCGAUGGCGAAAGCACUCUGCUGGGCCGAAACUGACACUGAGAGACGAAAGCUAGGGGAGCGAAUGGG